UACGUAGGGUGCGAGCGUUGCCCGGAUUUAUUGGGCGUAAAGGGCGCGUAGGCGGCCACGCACGUCCGUUGUGAAAUCGCCCGGCUCAACUGGGCGGGUCGGCGGAUACGGCGUGGCUGGAGCAAGCUAGGGGGCAAGUGGAAUUCCCGGUGUAGUGGUGGAAUGCGUAGAUAUCGGGAGGAACACCAGUGGCGAAGGUGGUUGCCUGGAGCUUUGCUGACGCUGAGGCGCGAAAGCGGUGGGGAGCGAUCCGG
rnacentral:rRNA from 1 species